AUACUUAAACCUGACAGGGGAGACACCAUGAGCAUGAAGGUGGUUUUCCCAGGGCGAGGCUUAGCCAUUGCACCCUGGAUGUGCUGACCCCUGCGAUUUCUCCAAAUGUGGGAAACUCGACUGCAUGAUUUGCUGUAGUGGGGGACUGCGUUCGCGCUCUCCCCUA
ensembl:snRNA U1 U1 spliceosomal RNA